rnacentral:ncRNA from 2 species
UUAUAAUGGCGCAGUUUUGGUGCCCGCCCGCGUGUUCACGCCGGCAGUUAAACGGGAAACACAUAGUGUGCUGCCCCCGCAACGGUACUGCCAGCCGCGCCAAGCGGCUGGCCAGCCCGGAUACCGGCCAAGACAGGUGGACACGA